UUCAGACAUUAAUGACAGUCAUCGGGCCCGAACGCGUCUGAUUCUGUGGUGCAGUGUCUGUCGGUUGGGGUAUUUUGAAUGGCCAUUACACACUGCUCAUAUAUAUACUAUGAGCCUUAAAGGAUAUAAGCCAAAGGCCACUCAGUCAUUUUGUUCAUCAGACCAGAGUGGCUGCACCGCUCUUCACCAGAUGUGCUGCUCUGGACUGCUGUGGCGACGGGGCCCGAGCCUCAGGUCCUCCGGAGGAGGAUGCGAUAUGACGACAGUUGCGAGAUGAGUUGCAACAUUAGAAAUAAAAAAUCUUCUGAGCUCGCCAGCCCCCUUAGAGAACACCAGUGAACCCGAACCAUCCAUCUCAUCCUGUUCAACAAAGCAGCCUGUCGGGGAAGGAGCAUCCUACCCAGUAGAGCCAGUAACAACCGGAUGUGUCUUCAGAGGUCAGGGCCGAGCCAGUGGGUCCCCGGGGGGAGGCAGAAUUGUUGUCGCCACCAUCAGACCGCAGUGAAGAGGAGAGCCAAAGGGAUUCACUUUCCUUUCGGAAGUGCUCACAGGAGAUUGCUGGUCAUGCAAGGAUCCACACACUGAUCUUUUUUUUUCACUUUGUUCUUUUUUAGAAAACGAACAAAUGACUCAGAAACGAAGGGAAAAUCCGUUCAACCCUUACGGGCAGCGGGGAAGUCGUUUCACGCUGAGUACUCCACACGACUCCGGUCCCCCACUUCAUAUUUUUUGACAUUAACUUGUAACAAAAAGACGACAAUCUGUUAAGUUGUCCAACCUUGAGAUUAAUUGAUUCGAAAGAAUAUCCUGAAUGUCUCUAUUUUCUUUUGCUUGCCUAACCCUCAUUGUAAGCCAGACCUUGAGCAUCACACCAGUGUAAAGGUUGUGUCUCAUUCAAAAAUGGAAGUCAUUGGUUUCGUGGUGCAGGGGGAUUAUCUAGGGGCAUAACAUGCUUUGAUUUAUGGCCCCGUCUCUUGCGUGUUCACAGCAGUGAAUUCCCCCGGUGGGUCGGGAUUCUGGGCUCGUUGAACAGAACUUCAUGAGAUCAGAGCUGGAGCCGCCUGACGCUAGGUGGAGACGUCGAUUAGAGAAGACAGGAGACAAGACAAUGUCUAAAUUUAUAUCAGAUUUACCAAAAUCAAUUUUUCUCCAACACAGAAUAACUACACCUCAAGCUGUAAUCCAAUACAAAUAAAUGAACCGGUUAACCUGAACUGUCUGCAUGUGAACCGUUAGCCCCUUCCUAUGGCCCCAUCCCCUAAAGGUUUAUGCUGUGUUGAGACUACACUGCGCCUCACGUCACGCCGUGGCCACUUGUUUGUUAGAAAUGCUAAUGCUCACUGAUUAGUAAUUAUUCAAUUGGCAUCAACGACAACUCAUGUUUAUUUGUACCCAAUCUGUGAAUUAGGUCCAGAGUUGUUUACUGUACUGAAAACAUUGAAUACAUGUUAUGUAGGGAAGUGAACCACCAUCACUUCAUAUGCCAUUUAGAAAAGAAGUUGCCCAUCUCCAAUUCAUUUUUGACGGGCAUGAAAAUGUGUCCUUUUCACUUGGAUAAAAAGCAACCUUACUUUUUGAAAUGCAAUUAAAAAAA